GACGAACGCUGGCGGCGUGCUUAACACAUGCAAGUCGAACGGAAAGGCCCUGCUUUUGUGGGGUGCUCGAGUGGCGAACGGGUGAGUAACACGUGAGUAACCUGCCCUUGACUUUGGGAUAACUUCAGGAAACUGGGGCUAAUACCGGAUAGGAGCUCCUGCUGCAUGGUGGGGGUUGGAAAGUUUCGGCGGUCGGGGAUGGACUCGCGGCUUAUCAGCUUGUUGGUGGGGUAGUGGCUUACCAAGGCUUUGACGGGUAGCCGGCCUGAGAGGGUGACCGGCCACAAUGGGACUGAGAUACGGCCCAGACUCCUACGGGAGGCAGCAGUGGGGAAUAUUGCACAAUGGGCGGAAGCCUGAUGCAGCAACGCCGCGUGCGGGAUGACGGCCUUCGGGUUGUAAACCGCUUUCGCCUGUGACGAAGCGUGAGUGACGGUAAUGGGUAAAGAAGCACCGGCUAACUACGUG
rnacentral:rRNA from 1 species